rnacentral:hammerhead_ribozyme from 1 species
CUCCAGCUGACGAGUCCCAAAUAGGACGAAACGUGAUUCCUGGAU